rnacentral:rRNA from 1 species
UACGUAGGGUGCGAGCGUUAAUCGGAAUUACUGGGCGUAAAGCGUGCGCAGGCGGUUUUGUAGGUCAGAUGUGAAAUCCCCGGGCUUAACCUGGGAAUGGCAUUUGGGACUGCAAGGCUCGAGUGCGGCAGAGGAGACUGGAAUUCCUGGUGUAGCAGUGAAAUGCGUAGAUAUCAGGGGGAACACCGAUGGCGAAGGCAGGUCUCUGGGCUGACACUGACGCUCAUGCACGAAAGCGUGGGGAGCAAACAGG